rnacentral:rRNA from 1 species
UACGUAGGGUGCUAGCGUUGUCCGGAAUUAUUGGGCGUAAAGAGCUCGUAGGCGGCUUGUCGCGUCGGAUGUGAAAGCCCGGGGCUUAACUCCGGGUCUGCAUUCGAUACGGGCAGGCUAGAGUUCGGUAGGGGAGAUCGGAAUUCCUGGUGUAGCGGUGAAAUGCGCAGAUAUCAGGAGGAACACCGGUGGCGAAGGCGGUGCUCUGGGCUGGAACUGACACUGAGGAGCGAAAGCGUGGGUAGCAAACAGG